rnacentral:piRNA from 1 species
UCCUUGAUUCGCAUCCCAGGACUCUCUGGC